AGCAACUUCAUGUAGCCACCACCACAGUCGAGCUUUUGUUCAUGCUUAACAGAAAAUUGGAAUACUAGUGUCUUAUCUUUGUUACUGAACUCAGGGAACUCAGCUGAAAUUGCGUAGAACCUGUAAUCUUCACUAGUCUGGAUGCCUUUAUCAUUUGGGUCUCCAUUCCACUUGCCAGAAGUGUAGUUCCAUUCACCAGCUGUAUUCUCAUCUUUCUUCCACUCAGAUUUGACCCACCUCGUUUCCCAACCGUCAUCGAAACGUUCCUCGAAGAAGACUUUCGCAGAGGCGAUCACGAGGAGGGAAAGGAGAAUCAGCGAGAGUAGGGAGUUAGGGUUCGUCAUGGC
rnacentral:misc_RNA from 1 species